rnacentral:lncRNA from 1 species
GAUUGCUGGUUGCUUAACGUCCAGUGGCAAAUAUUUCAUGCAUAUUCAGGACGAGAACAAGUUCACAAUAAAUACUGUAGGUAGGUCUUGAAAUAAUAGAGGCCAUCUGGGAUGAUGGUCGGGGAAAUUUGGACUGCCACUGGAAAAUGAGGGUAUAUUGGAUAGGGACAGAAAUUUUUCCUUGCAACAGGCCACCUACGGACCCCUCAAAGAGUUGUUGCAAGGGUUCUUAACGUGCAAAGAGCGUGGCACUCUCCUUACACGAGGCAUUAGAUUUAACGUCCCCAAUCUAACCGGACGUGAC